CGGACGGGUGAGUAAUGUAUGGGGAUCUGCCUGAUGGCGGGGGAUAACUACUGGAAACGGUAGCUAAUACCGCAUAAUGUCUACGGACCAAAGCGGGGGACCUCCGGGCCUCGCGCCAUCAGAUGAACCCAUAUGGGAUUAGCUAGUAGGUAAGGUAACGGCUCACCUAGGCGACGAUCCCUAGCUGGUCUGAGAGGAUGACCAGCCACACUGGAACUGAGACACGGUCCAG
rnacentral:rRNA from 1 species